AGUCGAGCGAACGGACGAGAAGCUUGCUUCUCUGAUGUUAGCGGCGGACGGGUGAGUAACACGUGGAUAACCUACCUAUAAGACUGGGAUAACUUCGGGAAACCGGAGCUAAUACCGGAUAAUAUUUUGAACCGCAUGGUUCAAAAGUGAAAGACGGUCUUGCUGUCACUUAUAGAUGGAUCCGCGCUGCAUUAGCUAGUUGGUAAGGUAACGGCUUACCAAGGCAACGAUGCAUAGCCGACCUGAGAGGGUGAUCGGCCACACUGGAACUGAGACACGGUCCAGACUCCUACGGGAGGCAGCAGUAGGGAAUCUUCCGCAAUGGGCGAAAGCCUGACGGAGCAACGCCGCGUGAGUGAUGAAGGUCUUCGGAUCGUAAAACUCUGUUAUUAGGGAAGAACAUAUGUGUAAGUAACUGUGCACAUCUUGACGGUACCUAAUCAGAAAGCCACGGCUAACUACGUGCCAGCAGCCGCGGUAAUACGUAGGUGGCAAGCGUUAUCCGGAAUUAUUGGGCGUAAAGCGCGCGUAGGCGGUUUUUUAAGUCUGAUGUGAAAGCCCACGGCUCAACCGUGGAGGGUCAUUGGA
rnacentral:rRNA from 1 species